AUUGAACGCUGGCGGCAGGCCUAACACAUGCAAGUCGAACGGUAACAGGAAGCAGCUUGCUGCUUCGCUGACGAGUGGCGGACGGGGGAGUAAUGUCUGGGAAACUGCCUGAUGGAGGGGGAGAACUACUGGAAACGGUAGCUAAUACCGCAUAACGUCGCAAGACCAAAGAGGGGGACCUUAGGGCCUCUUGCCAUCGGAUGUGCCCAGAUGGGAUUAGCUAGUAGGUGGGGUAACGGCUCACCUAGGCGACGAUCCCUAGCUGGUCUGAGAGGAUGACCAGCCACACUGGAACUGAGACACGGUCCAGACUCCUACGGGAGGCAGCAGUGGGGAAUAUUGCACAAUGGGCGCAAGCCUGAUGCAGCCAUGCCGCGUGUAUGAAGAAGGCCUUCGGGUUGUAAAGUACUUUCAGCGGGGAGGAAGGGAGUAAAGUUAAUACCUUUGCUCAUUGACGUUACCCGCAGAAGAAGCGCCGGCUAACUCCGUG
rnacentral:rRNA from 1 species